GGUCUUCGGUUUUUCCUCCGGGAGUAGGGGUGGACUGAAGGCUUGGCCGCUCCGCCUCACUGAGCCGGUUCAGUCAGCGCAGGUGUUCCUGGAACGCCAGUCCCUUAGGAUGGGAGAGAGCGGAGAAGGCAAAGAGGAACAGACUGAAUGGGAAAGAGACUGGAUAGAUUCUAAUAUGGAUAAGGAUGCUACUGGCUUAGUUUCAAAAGUCUCUUCUGUCUAACAAAUGGAGCUCCCUGAUUCAACUGAGGACUGCAGUCAGAGGCCAGGCAUUGUCUUGGAAGGCCACACUGCAGAGGCCCUGGGUCAGAUGGUGCAAGUUCAGACUGUGGUGCUAGACACUGAAGUCCAGUUCAUUAUUUCUGUCUUUAAGCUACAUCCUGGUGGGAGGCAGGACACUGAAGUACUUAGAACCCCUCAGAAUGGCCAGAUCCUGUUCAUGCU
rnacentral:lncRNA from 1 species